AGCAUGUCUUCCGCCACAACCUACAUCUACCUCACCUCAACAAACAACCCACAAGCAGUCCACGAUGGCGAGGUACUCGACAACAAUGCCUUGUGAGAAAUCCUCCAAACGAUUUUUGGAACAUUUUAUUCACCUCUCAUUCAGCUGAUGAAAACACACUGCGUGAUCAUGAGGAAGUAUUACAUCAAGAUGCAAACUGGAAUGCAGGAUUCAUAUCCCGAGGUUACCAGAGCCACCCAGAUCCAGCUUCAUUCCUUCGUUGGUGUUGGACUCCACUGCUACUUGUCUCUGAGUGAUGACAACUAAAUGCAGCUGUUGCCAGCCAGACAUCACUUCAAUCUAUUACGAUGGACUUCAGGGGAUGAACUGAUGCUAACUCCAACCAUAAGACAUUGGAUACUUCAUAUGCCACUGCCUGAACCUCGGAUUUAGGAUUGACCUCACC